CACAUGCAAGUCGAACGUGAAAGUCCUUCGGGAUGAGUAAAGUGGCGCACGGGUGAGUAACACGUAGGUGACCUUCCGUUUAGAGGGAAUAACCAGAAGAAAUUUUGGCUAAUGCCGCAUACGAAGCGCAAAUAUAAUAGUAACGCUUGAAAGAAUGCCUCUGUAUAUGCAUUCACUAAACGAUGGGCCUGCGGAACAUUAGCUAGUUGGUGGGGUAAAGGCCUACCAAGGCAACGAUGUUUAUCCGGUCUGAGAGGAUGAUCGGACACACUGGAACUGAGACACGGUCCAGACUCCUACGGGAGGCAGCAGUGGGGAAUAUUGCGCAAUGGGGGAAACCCUGACGCAGCAACGCCGCGUGAGUGAGGAAGGACUUCGGUCUGUAAAGCUCUGUUAAUGUGGAAAAAUGGUUAGCGGUCUAAUAGGCCGUUGAUUUGAUGGUACACAUAGAGGAAGCACCGGCUAACUUCGUGCCAGCAGCCGCGGUAA
rnacentral:rRNA from 1 species